UUCUGCUUCCUCCAGGCUGCCUCCGGCCACGAUAACAACCUCUUAUUCGUUGUACAUUUACGAUCCUCAACCAUCCAGGGCACUGGUCAAGGCAGAGAGCAUCACUCCUAAACUGAAGAAACAGGGCUCAGAGUCUAAGUGCUUGUUCAGGGUCGCCCAGCGGCUGGAAAGCUGGAAUGACCAUUUCCAGUCCAAUUCUCUCAACUGUCAAGCGCAGCUCCUGGA